GAUUCAUCGCGAGCAGUUGAGGGACUGGCCCAAUGACACUGCGGCAACCCCCAUUCGGGAAGGUGCCAAUUCCAACGGAGUAUUCCGGCAGAUGAUGU
rfam:Megasphaera genomosp. type_1 str. 28L contig00013, whole genome shotgun sequence.